rnacentral:rRNA from 1 species
GUGGGGAAUAUUGGACAAUGGGCGAAAGCCUGAUCCAGCCAUGCCGCGUGUGUGAAGAAGGUCUUCGGAUUGUAAAGCACUUUAAGUUGGGAGGAAGGGCAGUAAGUUAAUACCUUGCUGUUUUGACGUUACCGACAGAAUAAGCACCGACUAACUUCGUGCCAGCAGCCGCGGUAAUACGAAGGGUGCAAGCGUUAAUCGGAAUUACUGGGCGUAAAGCGCGCGUAGGUGGUUUUGUAAGUUGGAGGUGAAAUCCCCGGGCUCAACCUGGGAACUUCCUCAAAAACUACAUGACUAGAGUACGGUAGAGGGUAGUGGAAUUUCCUGUGUAGCGGUGAAAUGCGUAGAUAUAGGAAGGAACACCAGUGGCGAAGGCGACUACCUGGACUGAUACUGACACUGAGGUGCGAAAGCGUGGGGAGCAAACAGGAUUAGAUACCCCUGUAGUCC